UACGUAGGGUGCGAGCGUUAAUCGGAAUUACUGGGCGUAAAGCGUGCGCAGGCCGGUCUGUUAAGACCGAUGUGAAAUCCCCGGGCUUAACCUGGGAACUGCAUUGGUGACUGGCAGGCUUUGAGUGUGGCAGAGGGAGGUAGAAUUCCACGUGUAGCAGUGAAAUGCGCAGAGAUGUGGAGGAAUACCGAUGGCGAAGGCAGCCUCCUGGGCCAACACUGACGCUCAUGCACGAAGCGUGGGAGCAAACAGG
rnacentral:rRNA from 1 species